GCUCAAGCUGCGGGAACCCAUCCUUGGCCAGAACGCUCCGGAACACCGGUCCGACCGCCAGCCGGCCGUCCUUCCCGGGCUUCCCGUCCUCCACUUUGAUCGUGAAGGUGUUCUUCGGAUUCGCCUCCAUCUCUGAUCAGCGUGGCUCCGGAGGCCCUGAACGUCCAGAACUGGAAAGGCAAGCAGGAGGGGGGGUUCUUGCACGAAGACGAUGGGUCGAUGGCUGUCCAAGUCCAACAGGCUGAAGAUCUGGCUGCUUCUGCUGAUUGGUGCGCUCUCACAAUCGACGUGCCUUUUCUGGUUGGAAGGUAUGGUUACUGCAUUGCAUGGGCUUUUGUUGUUGGGUAUUUCUGCUUUCUGUCUAGUUUGCUUGCUGCUACCUUUCUUUUUCUUAUUAACGCGUGGUAGUACCGUUUGAUAAUCUUCAUUUUUUAUUGCUCUCGAUCUGUAUGGUUCAUUUUUUUUAUUUCGCGCCUUCCUAUUUCAUGGUCAAAGGAUUUGUCACCACGACGGCCUAUUAAAUACUAGUGUCCUAAUAAAACUUGUUUUUUUUAUGUCACUAUUAAGUCUGGAUCAACCAAUUGCCAACUUGACAUGUCUACUCAUUGACUGAAUCGUGUUUUUUUUCUUCUUCUUCUUCUUUCAGUUAAGAUUCUGAAUUCAAACUUGGAAACUGAUAUGGGUAAUGGCUCCACCGGUCCACCCACGCCCAACAAGGGCAUCUAAAAAAACAAAGCAUGAAAUCAGUUAAGCUGUGUUUAAGCAAUUAAAACUUGUCUUGUUUUCGAAAAAUAAACAAAAAGAGAAGCCCCCUGCUGCGGUAUACACAUAUAUCAGACUCUUCUGUGUGUCUUUACAAGAUAAAAAAAAAGAAAGAAACGGAUAUGUUCAUUUUAACGCGGCUGCGAUUAGCUGCUUCUAUUUCUGUACGAAAAAAAGAUCUCUAGUAACAGCAAGAGCAAGUCAGCAACGCCCAUCCAUAAUCAUGCCCCCUCGUAUCAUGAGGAAACAUUCAUACUAGAUUGCAGGCUUGCAGCAGCAACAUGGCAAUAAUCCCUGGCCAGUUCUUGGUGAAACAGUGCCAUUGAUGCUCUUGCUUGGUACAAACUUUAUGGUGCUAGGCUGCUAGCUUGGGGUGUAUGCAUAUUGGACAAAGAUGGGCACUUGCACGUACCGAUGGGCGAGCAUUUAUUUGGCUGUUCGUGCAUAUUCGCGUUAAAAGUAAUAAUUGACGUUUUUUUACAAGGAUUUGUUUAUUUAUUUAUUACAAAUUGAUGCAUGGUAUGUUACGUCACUUCACUGUGCACGUACUAGGAUGGAUUUGUGUGCUCACACUACCGGAAUCCGGGUCUUUGCCGAGUGCCGGAGUCUUUGCCGAGUGUUUUUUAUCGGGCACUCGGCAAAGACUGCUUUGCCGAGUGUCGCCCUCGGUAAAGUCUUACGCUCGGUAACGAGACAGUUUAUCGAGUGCAGGACACUCGGCAUAGCGAAGCACUCGGCAAAGAGCCCUUUGCCGAGAGGCAAACACUCGGCAAAGACGGCUCUCGGCAAAGGGCCGUUAGCGUCCGUCUAUAGUUGACGGCCGUUAGUCUUUGCCGAGGGCCGAAAGCAGACACUCGACAAAAGCAGAUUCUUUGCCGAGUGUCAAAUAACUGGCACUCGACAAAGGAGGUCUUUACCGAGUGUCUUCUGUGGACACUCGGUAAAGCAUAUUUUUAUUUUUUUAUUUUGGUCACCAAACUUUUUGUGGUAUGUUUCUACACUAUGUAGACAUACACGUACCAUUUUGGGACAAUUAUAACUGUGUUUUCAAUAUCUAGUAGAUUUAGUUCGUUUAUUUGGAUUUCUUCGGAAAAUUCAGAUUUGAACUGCAGGUCACUUGAAACUUGGAAUUCAGAUUUGAACUGCAGGUCACUCGAAACUUGGAAUUCAGAUUUGAACUGCAGGUCACUCGAAACUUAGAAUUCAGAUUUGAACUGCAGGUCACUCAAAAUUCAGAUUCCCUCCAGUUGACCCUGCUCUCUUCCAUACUCCUGACCAAUCUGGGGCGGCAUCCAACAACCCUCCGGAAGGGUUCAGCUCAACGCAGUACCAGUCGAACCGCCCAUCUCCAUGAGUGUUAUGUUUUCAGUGUUUAGACUUCAGAACAACUUGUGUAGAAUACUUAUGUUUGUGUUUGAUACUUAUGUCAGAGCUUGAGACGUAUGAGACUUAUGUUUGUGUUGGAUACUUGUGUUGAACACUUAUGUUUGUGAUGGAUAUUUAUGUUUGUGUUGGCUAUUUAUGUUUGUGAUGAUAUCUGUGAUGUAUAUAUGUGAUAUAU